rnacentral:ncRNA from 1 species
CUCAAAAAUGGCAAACCCAGCGAAAGCUGGGGCUGCGAAGCUGAUGAUCUAAGGUGUCUUAUGGCACUAUGAUGGUCUGGCUGCUAAAA